rnacentral:tRNA from 1 species
GGUUAUGGCUCAGUGGCAGAGCGCUUGUCUAGCAUGUGUGAGGCACUGGGUUCAAACCUCAGCACCA